GCGAUUGCGACCUGUACAAAUUAAUUGAGACAAAAAAGAAAGUGUUAAAGCACAAACAGUGAAGUACCGCCACCGGUCGACAGGGGCAGCACUUAAAAAAGACGGAAGAAUUGUAAACCGGAAGAUAACGUGUCCUCCCAGAGAGCACUCGGCGUCACACAUUUCAGUGUUUGAAGAGAGGAUCAAGAUACAGAUUUAAGACAAAAGUCAUCAAUUACGAUCGUUUAAAUAGCUUGCCCAGAGCACAGCAUCUCGUGCACAGCAUGAAGUUUUCAGCUAUCAAGAUUUCUAGAGGCUCCAGAAUGAAAACCAAGCCCUGCACUGCAAAAAAUGAAAGUCUUGCUUGGUUUUCUUUUGUCUUGUUUUCUAAUAUUAGUAUCUGAAAAUUCUUAAAUUGAGACACUGACUUUGUAAGCAAGUG